GAGGGUGUAGCUCAAGUGGUAGAGCGCAUGUUUAGCAUGCACAAGGUCCUGGGUUCAAUCCCCAGUCCCUCC
rnacentral:tRNA from 1 species